AUGAUAUUGAAUUGAAUCUCCUUGAAUCUCUCUAGUCCUUCUAGAGAGAGAAAAUCUCUUUAUAGUUUUCUUUCUUUUUCAGUCUCGAGUUCGGCAAGUUCUCUUUCUGGUGGCCUCCAUAGUGGUUUGUUUGGCCUGGUAAAGGAUUUCCCUCCCUUUUUUCCAAUUUGGUUGUCCAUAGUUUUGCUUUUUUUGUCUUGUUUGCAAUAUCUUGGGGUGAGCGUAUAGAGGGUUUGAAUGAAGGAUUUGGUUGGGG
rnacentral:misc_RNA from 1 species